rnacentral:rRNA from 1 species
CAGUUAAAAAGCUCGUAGUUGGAUUUCUGGCCGAGUGUCCCCAGGCCAGCAUGACGUUUGGUCCUGGGCGCUCUGCCAUCCUUCUGUCAACCUUUGCCUCGUUCGUUCGUGGCGCUGGGGCUCAGAUAUUUUACCUUGAGAAAAUUAGAGUGUUUCAGGCAGGCUUUCGCCGGAAUACAUUAGCAUGGAAUAAUGGAAAAGGACUUCAACCUCUUCUGUUGGUCUGAGAGGCUGUAGUAAUGAUUAAUAGGGAUAGUUGGGGGCAUUAGUACUUAACUGUCAGAGGUGAAAUUCUCCGAUUUGUUAAAGACUAACUUAUGCGAAAGCAUUUGCCAAGGAUGUUUUCAUUAAUCAAGAACGAAAGUUAGGGGAUCAAAGACGAUCAGAUACCGUCCUAGUCUUAACCAUAAACUAUGCCGACUCGGGAUCGGGGGCACGCAAUAUCGGCCUUCGGCACCGUAUGAGAAAUCAAAGUCUUUGGGUUCUGGGGGGAAUAUGGU